rnacentral:rRNA from 1 species
GAUGAACGCUGGCGGCGUGCUUAACACAUGCAAGUCGAACGAAGCACUUAAGAUUGAUUCUUCGGAUGACGUCUUUUGUGACUUAGUGGCGGACGGGUGAGUAACGCGUGGGUAACCUGCCUCACACAGGGGGAUAACAGUUAGAAAUGACUGCUAAUACCGCAUAACCCGAUAGGAUCGCAUGAUCCAGACGGAAAAGAUUUAUCGGUGUGAGAUGGACCCGCGUCUGAUUAGCUAGUUGGUGAGGUAACGGCCCACCAAGGCGACGAUCAGUAGCCGGACUGAGAGGGUGAACGGCAACAUUGGGACUGAGACACGGCCCAAACUCCUACGGGAGGCAGCAGUGGGGAAUAUUGCACAAUGGGGGAAACCCUGAUGCAGCGACGCCGCGUGAGUGAAGAAGUAUUUCGGUAUGUAAAGCUCUAUCAGCAGGGAAGAAAAUGACGGUACCUGACUAAGAAGCCCCGGCUAACUACGUG